ensembl:snRNA U6 U6 spliceosomal RNA
UGCUCGUUCUGGCAGCAGUAUAUGAAAACUGAAACGACACAGAGAUUAGCAUGGCCCCUGCAGAAGGAUGACAUGCAAAUUCAUGAAACGUCCCAUAUUUUU